CCUGAUCUUUCUCUCUCUCUCUCCGCCACCGACAUGCUUCCGCCCAAUACUCUCCGGUUUCUGCUGGCGUCGCGUCCAUCAUCUUCUUCCUCCGCCUCCACCUCUGCAUAUCUUUGUAUCGCCACGGAGGAUCUCAUUCCUUUUCGUAAUGAGCAUGAGUUUGUGGGAAGUUGUCGAAACCCCCCAUUUCAGGAUAUCAACCUCAGUUAAGCUUUCCUGACGCUGCCUCAUCUUUCUUUGGAUAAAGCCUCUGGUGCACUGCUGAAAUGUUGUAUCAGAUUCUUGAUCUAGGAUCUGCCAAUGGAACUAGAUUUUCUUGCAAUCACUCACCUUUACAUGAUACUUUACAUAGGAAACGAAAGUCAGUAAAUUCCAGACAGUAUUGUCUGCCUUUGUACCUCUGAUGUGUUGUGAGAAAAUUUCUGCAAAAUCCCCAGAUAGACAAUGUGUUAUACCAACAGGUUAUUAAACAUUAAGUCUCAUAAAAAAAACCAUGGUUGUUUCUUCAAGCAACAAAUACUUAUAUAACUUGUUAUUACUGAAUUCCCCUGAUGGUACGUGAACAUAUAAUGUUUAGCAUACUGUAACUAGAACAGAAUGCUGCAGAUUUGGAAACCCUUGUCCGCCAGAUGCAAGUAUCAUUCAUCAGCAUGAGUUACACCAUUUUUCUUACAGAAGGGCAGAAAUGAACAAAAACGCUUUAUACCUAGAGAUACAAAUCCUCCAUUUGUUGUCAGAUAUUGGAAUGGCUCUCCUCUCAACUCCAGAGGAGGGAUUGGUGACCAGGUGCAACGUGGUGCUUUGUAGUGUGCUUCUAAAUUGCUAACAUCUACUAGUUCCUGCAAUCCAGUUCCUCUACUUUCAGAAUGACAAACAUAGGUAAAGAUAGGUUGUUGUCGGCAUCAUCUUGCUAUGUCAGCAGCCUACCUGAAAGAAUGAUGUUGCCAGAAUUACAUCCGUAUCAUCUUUGAAGCGCAUGGGAUAUAUCACGGUUGUCUUCUCCAGCUGCAUUAUAAAGAUGAUGUUUUCGUUGUGACAACAGAGUGGCCUCGUGAAAAACACAGAAAAUGGAAGCCAAAGAAAUUGUUAACGGAAAUUUUGUAUGCGAAAUGGUCAUUCACUGAGUGGUUUCUCAUUUUCUGAAUCAUGACAUUGAUCUAUUGAUACCUUUUCAAUUGGCAUGCUUAAGUUUAUGUGUUACUGUGUAAAAAGUCGAAUCGUCUUGAAGUUUACGGAAAUUUCAUGCAAACAUGGUAAUGUUCUUGAAGUACCAUUUUGAUGACAAAGAAGGGCUCUUUCAGCUGAUGGACAAUCUUGAUUGGGUUGCACAUGCCAUUGCCCAUGUACCUGGGUUCAAGGUUCCACAACAUAUCCUUCAUUUGUGAACUCAGUAUGACUGCGUGUAAUGAGGAGAUCUCGCUGAUAGCCUUCAUCCGAUCUUCUGAAAUAGUCUGGAUGUCAGUUUCUAUCGGGAUGUCAGAAUUUGUAUAUUAAGAAAAGCUUUGAAAGGUGAAGCAGAUUGUUUCAUCUACAUUGAUCUAAAUCCUCACUGUCAAGGAUAGGACCGAGCAUUAAGAAUUCUCCAGCUGCUGUUGUUUUGUGUUUAUUGUUUAUACAGAGGACAGGAGAAUUCCAUACCUUUUCUCUGUGGAAGUGCCGCAAAGUCGAUUCUGAGAGUAAGCAUAUAACCUUGCUUCGAAGGUUCCACUACUUCUGCAGAAUCAAGAUAUACCCUUUUGACAUCUAGUAGGGCACAGUCAGGUAGACAAUCUGAAGAGAACUCUGGAGAAAGUGGUGGCAUCCAUGUGGACAAGUUAACAAUUUGUGGACUUGAUGCCGAUGCCUAGUCACAGCUAUUGACAGUGUCAAAACCAGGAUAAAAGAACGGCGUAUGCUUACUAUGCUAAGGCUACAAGAAUCAGAAUUCCAUUGCAGUGUUUGAUGUUGUGUGGGAUCAAGAAAACAUGAUCCCGCAAACCAAUUAUAUGCAGAGUGGCAAAAGCACCUGGAUAUUGUAUCGAACUGAGCCAUAUUCAUAUAGGUUAUGAUCGAAGUCUGUUAAGCUUUCACCACUAGCAAGAAAGAAGAUAAAAGAGGAUGUAAGUGACCAAAGCAGUUCGAAGCUGAACAUGCAUGUUUACUCGAUUAGAGUCUGCUUGAAUGAAGAGAAGCUCCAUGAAGGUGGGACUAGGUUUCAGAAAAGCCAUACCUCUGCAACUUGUUCAGGAUUUCCACCAGUGCAGGUGACACCCUGUUGAAGAAUGCCAUAUCUGUGGGUUGAAAGUCAUGAAGAGAGUAUAUGAUGGUAUAUAUGUGGAUGAAUGGUCCUUGUUGCUUUGCAUGCAAGCCUUAAUUUCAAGAACAAGCUGAUGAAAAGGCAGAGCACUCUACAAUGAUAUGCUCCAUCUACUAGUUUUUGGUACUGGGAAAAACGACCCUUCAACUACGAAAUCAGGUGGUGUGACUGCUGAUAGACUUCGAUUUAUGUUGCAGAUGUGGAGAUUUGGUCAACAAGAUUCUUAGGUCCACCCAACUCAACUUCAUUAGAAGACAGAGAGGGCAAGUUGAAGCUUAAAGCUCAAGUUAUCGUCUGCUGUGGUUGCUGCAAUAAUGGUGGGACCGAAUCGAAUGCUCAUUGUUGAGCUCAUCAUGUAAAAUUAUGAGAAGAGCAGGGUUUUCUCUUUCUUAUGCUUAUUUUUUCUUUCUUAUGCUAACCUCAAAUAUCUCUGGAAAGAGAGUAGAGUCGUGACAGAGAAGCUGGCGGCUACCUGUAGAUUUCAAGAGAAGCCUCGAGCAACAUGCUUACUCGAGUCCCUUAGAUCGAAUCAAAUGCACAGGUCCUCCUCUAUUUGUUCCGUCACAAGUUUGUCUAUUCGAAAACUUGUUCUUUUCAUCUACAUAAGAACCUUUCAGCUUUAAUGUAGUCAAAGAAUUAUCCUACUGUAAGCCUUGUAUGUUCUCUCUCUCUCUCUCUCUCUCAGAAUAUUCAUUGUAAAUUUAGAAUCUAUUACUGGCUCCAACUUGUCG